rnacentral:rRNA from 1 species
GGCUGCCUACGGGAGGCAGCAGUGGGGAAUAUUGCACAAUGGGGGGAACCCUGAUGCAGCGACGCCGCGUGAGUGAAGAAGUAUUUCGGUAUGUAAAGCUCUAUCAGCAGGGAAGAAGAUGACGGUACCUGACUAAGAAGCCCCGGCUAACUACGUGCCAGCAGCCGCGGUAAUACGUAGGGGGCAAGCGUUAUCCGGAUUUACUGGGUGUAAAGGGAGCGUAGACGGCAGUGCAAGUCUGGAGUGAAAGGCGGGGGCUCAACCCCCGGACUGCUCUGGAAACUGUACGGCUGGAGUGCAGGAGG